AGAGUGCGGGGAGACCGCGUUUAGAGGAUCAGUGGCGGCGGCACCCGCGGCCCCGCGCGGCGCGGACGGCGGGCAGCACCGUGCCUGGGCCCCCUCCUGCUCCGGUAAGGCGUGGGUUUCGAUGGGAGGGACAGAGAGAGAGCGGGAAUAGGCGCAGGCGGAGGCCAGAGUUCUGCUGUAGAGUGGGGGUAGUCCAAGACCGAGCCUUGUGGAAGGUUGGGGUGCAGCCGGGUCCGGAAUCCCAGGCGGCUCCCCUGCACUGCUGGGCUUUGCAAUUCAGCGGCUGUUGCCAUUGUCCCCCCGUACUUUCUUGAGCUGGAAGUUUGUCCCAAGCGCAGCGCACAUCUUUGGAGGGGGAGGAGGCUCUUAGCAGCAGAAUCUCCCUCCUCCCGUCCCUCUUUCUGUGCCCCCUCCCCCAAUCCAUCCAAAGUCCACAGGGUCCGGGUCCUGGGCGAGCUGAGUGUCUGUCUCCCGCAGAGCACUCUUGCAAAGUUGAUUCGGGCGGUUUCCUGAUGGGGGCGGGGAGACCGGAGGCGCGGCGCCGGCGCGGGGGAAGGAGUGGACCGGGAAGCGCCUCGGGUGAGGAGUUGCAACCCUGGCGAGAAAGUUGUGAGAAAACUGUGAUCCGGAGACACCUUUUACGUACAAAAACAAACGACUAGGCGGGAAACCGGGGGCUCCAGCGGCGGCUGGGGGUGGUGGUCGUGGCGUUGGGAAGAGGGAAGGAGGAGGGGGGGGUGCCGGGACGCCACGAAGAGGCUGCAGUAGAUGGGCGUGCAGUGCAUGGGCAGCGUGUGCCGGGAUUCCAGUCCUCCCCUGUCCAGGCUUCGGGUUGGCACCGGCUUCCCCAGACAACAGCAAACCACACCCUCCAUAGUUCACUCCUCAGGGAACCCGUAACUCCCUAAUCCCGCUCUGGCUAGGAACUCGGGACCGCCGCCCCCAGGGGCCUAUUUUCCCACACGUGGGGGACAGAUCCUGGUCUAGAGUGCCUUCGCCUGGAAGAGUUACUGUAGUUUUUCGGAGCACUCAAGUCAAACCCUAAAUUCCGUUUCGACCACACCUGUUCUGGGUGGGCUUAACCAGGAUUUCUCCUGAAGUGGAGUCUGAAGGUGGUUGGGCUGGGCGGUCCCACUUUUGCUCCCCGUUUUUGUGCUUCGGGGGAGGGGGUGCUAGGAAGGCUCAUUUGGCCCGAGCAUGGAAGGCAGUGAUAGUGGGCGUCCCUCCGGAGCUGGCUGGUAUUGUGGAAUUGGCCUUUGGACCCCACUCGCGAUGCGCAGACCAGACGGAAGCUGAAACGGGGGAAAUGCUCGGGGAAGCGGAGUCGCAGUGAACCUGGGCUGGCAGGGAAUCCCGCUGUGCAGAUGGAAUACCCUCUUCGGACGAACGGGGAAGCUGCUUCAGAGAAUCUGGCUUGCGCUCCGUGGAACCGUGGGGUUUUAGGGCUUUGCCAACGCCCCUUUGCUGACUCCGCCCGCACCGCCCAGCAACCUCAAGGCCCACAGGCAGCCCCCCGCCUUGCCGCCGGCGUCACCAUGUCAUGGAAACCGAAGCCGCGGAGACCCGCAGUGCGACUCGUUGGCGUUCUGCCCUGACCCGUGGGUGCCGGGACCCUAACGCCUUCUCCACACCUUCUUGCACAUACACAUGUGGGCUCCCCGCUGCGGGCCGGAGGAGCGUAGGGGACUAGUCAGCUCCGGCGCGCCGCCGGCCUCCGCCGGUCGCUCCCAGACCCCGACGCGGGGCAGGGCAGAGGAUGGAGAAGGCGGUUCUGCGAUCUAGGGGGCGGGCUCCGCGGGCUCGGACUCGGCUUCGCGCUCCUCCUGCGGACCCGGCACUUCCCGGCGGAAGACGACCGGUACUCGGUUCCAGAAUGACGCUCGGCCCAUGGACAGAGCCUGCCCAGUCACUCUCGGCUGCUAUUGAUCCCGAGGAUGAUGGCCGCCCCUAGCCAUUUCCCUCCUCUCUCUUCGGUUCCAGAACAGCCCAAGGAGCAGAAAAGAGUGACAAGGCCGUGAAAGGAGGCGCCUGGGGCGUAGCCGGCUCUAGGAGGUUACCCCAUGCGGAGUACACACCCUGCUACACCCAUCCCGGAGGAGGGAGGAAAUAGCCAGCCCGGAGCACCCCUGGACUCUGCCGGUCCCAGAGGCCACGCAAACUCCGCCCAGACUCGGUGAGGCCGCGGUAAUGCCACGCAGGGAACUGCGUGGAUAAGGUCGCUCGGAUCUGAGCGCCAAGGUCUCCCGCCUCUCCUUCCCGUCUAGUUCUCUCCGGACUCAAAUUGCCUUAAUCUCACCCAUCACUCUCUCAUGGAAAUGAUCUACUCGUGUGCAGUACUUCACAGCUUGUAUCACGGUCUCCCCUGAACCGUAUAGCAAGAGGGUGGUGGGGGGUGGAAGAGAAGGGUACUAUCUCCACUUUCCCGGCCAGGAGGCCCAAGUUAGGAGGCUUGUCCGAGAUCCCUAGGUCAGAGCACUAUUUAAGGUGAGAAGUUGGGUGGGGAGCUUGGCACCUUGCUCCAGUGUGCACUUUGCGCCUGGCCAUGUUUUAUAAGCAAGGGGGGCUUGGGCUGGUUAAGGGGGAGCAGGGACCGCAGGGCCAGGAAAGGGCAGCAUCCGGCAGGCCGGGGCGUCACGGUAUGUGCCUGGCCUGGGUAAACAACUCUGGCUUCCCACGAGCGCUGGAGGGACCCUGGGCAUGGGGCAGGGGCGUGGGGGAGGGGGGGCAGGGGCGUGGGGUGGGGCAGGGAGCGGGUGGAACAGCGAGGUCAAGCGUGGAGAUUCCAGUUGCGAGUCAGCUCCGCGCCGCGGAGCAAAGACAGGACGUGGAUAAUCUUGGGAGGGAGACGCUGAGCUGAAGAACAGAAAAGAGAGACAGAGGCAGAAGUGAGGAGAGAGGGACAGGAAAAGAAAAUAAAGGCAGAAAACCAGAGAAAAGAUGAGACGGAGUGCGGAAAAGCAGGCGGGGAUAAAGAAAGGAAAGAUCUGUCGGGGAAAUGCGGGGAGAAGUGGAGGAAAAGAAACAGAAAUUAGACCCAGAGAGAGACCCUGCCACGAAGAAGGCCGCGGGGACGGGCGCGGAGCCGAGGGCCCUGCAGGCACGGAGGGGGCGUCCCGCGGGUCUGGGGGUGUGCGGCUUUGGGACAGGCGAGUGCGUGCUGAGAGAAAGAGGCAGCGUGUUUGGUGGGAGACUCUGCGCCCGUGGAAAAGCGGCUCUGGGCAGGAAUCCAACAAAUAAAUAAAACGUCUAAGACGGCGUGACAACAAUGUGUAUUUGGGUGCGUGCCCGUGUUCCUCUGUCUGAACACCCAGUAAGGAAGACAAACGGGGCUCGUGCCUCACAGUAAUUAAUCCUCUCACUAAUUGACUCUCUCCCCUUACCUAAUGGCGGUGGUCACUGCCGAUAUCUGGAGAGACAUCAAGUUGGGGGAGACAGAGAGAGAGAACCCCAAAGCUAACGACCUUUGGGACUGAGAUUGAGUUUUUUCUGGACUUGGCAGCUCUAAGCCCUGCCCCCACCUCCACUUUUGGGCAGAGUUCCAUAGAUAUUGCUGCCUUCCUUCCCCCUCCAGGUUUUGGGCAGCAUUAAUAAAGAUCUCCUCAGAUUAGGGUGAUGUGGUUACACACACUGAAGCCCUUCUACCGCCCUCCACCUUGGGAGAUCAGUUUCAGAGGCUGAAAGCCACCCCUGUCCCUGGGACAUUUCUUACCUCCCUGCAAUACCAGCUCCCCCUCCCAUGUUGUUCCCCCAGGGGCCCAGACCCUGCACCCUCUUCUUUCAGGCAGUACUAACUCUUCCAAGGACCUGGGCGGUGUCCCGCAGUCCCCUAAGGCAGGUGAGGUUUUGAACGGGCUGAGAAGCAGUCUGGGGUUGAUGGAAGGAGAGUGGUGGGAGGUCAGGGCAAGGAUGGGGAGAGGCUUCCAGAGACAACCUUCCUCAGACUUGGGUUGAGAGACACAGAGGCGCAGAGAGGCGCAGUUGCCACCAGGCAAGAGAGAGGCCUCUAGGGACAAAGGAGGGAAAGGUGGGCUCUAUGCACUGUGGGAAGGAGCGCCAAGUGUGUGAGAGGCAGGAAGGUGGUCAUGUCUCUGUGACUGUGAGGGUGACAGUUCUGGUCUCUCUGUGUGAGCAUGGGGAAGCCCCCUAUGUUCCCUCACAGCACCCUCAGUUCUUAGACUGGGGAGAAGAGGCAGGGGACUGGUCUGGGACUUGAUGGUCCCCUUGGUAGCUGAGUUGGCUGGAAGGGGUCCAACGCCCACAGUCUGUCUGGUAAUGCAGCUUUGAGGCUUAGGUUUGGGAGGUGAAUGUCAACUCUCACCCCUGUGAGGUGGCAGCUUUGCUCUGUUGGCCUCCUCAGAGGCUAAAUAAAGAAAUGCUGAGAUCUAUAAACCACCCAGCCCAGAGAGAAAAAGGAGGGAGGAAGGGCAGCUCCCUAGAAAAAAAUCCACCCCCUCCCCACCACUAAACACAUUUUUAAUUGUCCCUUGGGAACAUUUGUACAUUUGACCAAAGCAAAUCUCAAAGCAGCAGCAGCAAAAUGAGUCAGAGGGGCUGGUGGUCCAGAGAGAGCUGGGGAUCGGAGAUGGGGAGGUGAGGAGAGGUGGCAGGCAUGUUUGGGAAGGUGAGAAACUUGGUUCCUUUCCCACCAUCUCUGUCAAGCUUUAGAAAGAAAGUGAGCAGGAGAAAUAAAGUUCCAGGGGAAAGAAAGAGAAGGGCAUAUAAAAGGCAAAUCCAACCCAGAAAGGAAAGAAAGUGAAGAAGAAAGAAAAAGGCAGGGAGGGGGGAGAGACUAUAAUAAAAGAGGGUGAAGGCGGCCCCAGGAGGCUGGGCCUCGUCCCAAACCAUCCGUCUUCAUUGUCUCCGUGUGUGCAAAGGCAACUCUGGCAUAAGGAAAACCCACUAUUGGAGCCGAGGCUUUAUUUUAUAUCCUAUACAUCAGGAGGGAGGCAAAGCUUUAUUUUCGCCAAGAGACAGAUAUUUUAUUUCUCUCUUACGGUUUUAUGUGUGAGAGAUGUCAGGUUGCCACAAUGGAUGGCUAAUGCAUAGGCAAGAGGAAGCCGUGUUGGCAUGCUGUGUGUCAUGGGGUCUUGUGGGGGUGAGCGGGCCUGGGAUUUAGGGCUGAUGGGACACUCUGGGGGAUUUCUGCUAAAACAUCUCUCUUCAUAAAUCCAGAAGCAUGGUCAGCUCAACAGGGAGAAGAAGGAGUUUUAGAGGGGAAAGAGUUGGGCUUAGUAAUAAACGAACACACAAAGGAACCGCUUACCUUCCAACAGCCUCGGGCAACAGGGGCACGACAGCCCCAUGGAAAUGCAGACACCCAUGUCCACGCACACAAGCGCCAUUCACAGGGAAGUAUUUUCCUGACACAAAAUCCAAUGUCAGUUUCCUUUCCUUUCCCCGUUUUAUAUUUUUCCACCCCCCUUCACCAGAAAUCUUUUUUAACCUCCUCAGAGCCUUGGGGGAAAAGAGCCAUUAAUUUGCAAAUCAUCUGAUCUGUGAAAGGAUCAAGAUGCCUGGUUUUCACUGCUAAAUCCAACGUCUUGAGUGGACACAGAGGCACACACAAGCCCGUCAUGCUGCCAACCCUUGGGAGCAUAGGUGCCAGAUCUGAAGCCAAGAAAAGACUCCCUCUCCUCCCGGGACCUGCAGCUGAAUUAAGCCUUAGAUUCCAAACUGCAUAAUGUUCAUAUUUUUAAACCUGGAGAGAAGUGGAGAGAUGAAGGGGGACAAAAAGAGGGGGAACUUUGUUAAUUAACGUGUUCCAUUCAGGACUUAGACUAAUUGUCUUCCCCACUUCCAGCCGCCCCCCAACCCAAGCCAUUUCUUACAGGAGUUGCUUUUAUUCAUUCUCAUGUUCUACUUUUCUCAUUUUUGGAUUAAUAUCUACUUGUUUAAUAUCUACUGUGGCGCAAAAACGUGACCACGCUCUUUCUUUUCAGAGGGUUGGAAGCAGCACAGGAUUCCUAGACAAGGAGCUUGGAGACUUGGCUACACUGUCCCUGGCCAUUAGGGAAGACGUUUAGCCUUUCCGGGCCUCAGUUUUCUCAUCUGUAACAUGAGGGGAUUCGGCUAAAUGAUUACUGAGGUCCCUUCCAGCUCCGACCUCCUCUGGCCGAAUGAGAUAAUGUGUGAAAACACUUUGUGAACACUAACACCGGACAGAUGCCAGGGAUCAUUAUUGCAAUUCUAAUCAAUCCUCUUUUCUCCACAUGGAUCUUGGCUGUUUAGUGCCAGCAAGCAGGCUAAAGGGGGCUGAAAGCAAGAAAGCUUAGCGGACAUGGAAAAGCUCUGUGCAGUGGGAGGGAAAAAAAAAACCCUGCAUCUCCAGAAACAUUGUGUCUCUGUGUGCCCCCUGAGGCCUAGUGGGAAGGGUUGGGGAGGAGGAGGCCUGACUUGGUAUGACCCAUUUUGGUCUACAUGGCGGCAGAGAGUGUAUUUCUUCAAAAGCAUUGUUGGUCUCCAAGUGACUGACAUGGGAACCUGAUGGGAAGGCGAUUUGCAAUUGUUUUUUUCCAGGAAGAAAGAAAGAGCAAGGUGUAGCUGAUUAGCAAGUUAAUUAUUUCAGUACCCCAAGGGUUCCAGUGUGGUGGUAAGUUGUCCAGCCCUGGUGUAAUUUCACAGUCUGUGCAUUUCCUGGUGAGCACCUGGGGUGCCCGAGUCUGUCUCUUUCUCUUUCCACCUGCCUUGUGUCUUCCUGACACACCUGGGGAGAUGAGCAGGGGCUGGGGAGGUUGAUGGUACAAGGUACACAUUCGGCUUAGGCUGCGGGUGGGGGCCACACCAAGAACAGGGUGGAGGAAGCCCAACUGAUGCCAUCUACCUCCGCUGAGUGUUUAAUUAUCUGGCCCUUUCUUCUUUAAAAAAUAAUCUUUUGUUUAAUAAAUAUUAAUGAGGCGGGUUAUCGGAAAGUGUAGUUGCCAUGAGGUUAUUUCCCCAGCCUUAGCAUGGAAAGAAACUGGGUUUGAGGAGCCUUUCGGCCCCUCACCGCCUUCUACCCCCACCAGCUCUCCCGUGCUCACGUUCCGCAGCAGCUCUUCCGGUCUCACUUCAAGAUUUGAUUUCCCCUUGGGGGAGGGUAGGGGAGGGAGGAUCAUGUGGUCAAAUGGACACUUCCCCUCGGAGAGAUAAGUUGGAGAUGUGAACAUUAGCCUCAAGAAUUAACAGCUUCUGCCGCUCUCUGCUCUCGGGGCUGAGAGGGCCAGCCCCCCCGCUGCUCCUUCCGCGAUGGAUGAAGGGAGGGCUCUACAGUUUACUUAAGAGUGGUCCCAUCUGCUCAGACUGGCCUUUCAUAAGGGGAGGGAUUUAUGCAGUGUCCUUGUGCACAGACCUGGGAUUUGGCUGAAAACCUUGGGCCUCUGAGAAUAUUACUGAACGCUAAAACGUUCAGCCAUGGAGAUGAUUCAUGAUUUUGUCUGCAUGGACAGUGUGUGUGUGUGUGUGUGUGUGUGUGCGCGCGCGCGCGCGCGUGUGUGUUUGUUGGGGUUGCACGCACAGUGAUGAUGGGUGCCACUCACCGUUCUCACUUUGAAUCCAAAUGUUAGGAAACUUUUUUUCCUUCUGUAUUCACUCAGGAGACAGGCCCUGGCACCAGGCUCUGGAGACCCCACUUCCUGACUCCAGCGGUGCGAAGAUGAUACAAUACUUUCUGGUGCUGACAUUCAGCUGUCUCCCAAACAGCUCUCAAUCUGGGGCAUGACUUUGAAGGGAAGGUUGCUAAGCCUCCUAAAUCCCGAUACACACCAAUGCCGUUUCCCCACUCAUCUGGAAACCUGGUGGGUCCUGCCCAAACGCCUGUAUGUCAAUUCCACCUCCUGCUUGGCGACCCACCAUGCCCACAUUUUCCACUCAAGCCUUUCAGAUCUGCUUUGGGCACCUGAAGACAGAGAGAAUCAUCUUUCAAGAGUCAGAAACUUUGCACGUGCCAUUCCCUCUGCUUAGAAUGCUUUUCCCUUUCUCCCAAUUGCCUUAUCAUCAGCCUGGGAAAAUAUUUAUUUCGGCUCCUAAAAUCUCAGAUAUCACUUCUCCAGGAGCUUUCCCAGAUGCCUCACUUGAUUCCAGAAGGAGCUAUCGCCACUUUUGCCUGGCGAGUACGUUUUCACCGUUACACUUAUACGCUAUGGCAAUUUAUUGGUGAUUUGUCUGUCUCCCCUACUCAAUAGUGAAUUAUUCAUCUAUCCCUGGAAACCUGGAACUGCUCAAUAAAUGUAUGUGGCAUGAAUAUACAUAUUAUUCUCUUCUGCCUUUUGUUUUUUUACACAUUCUUCAAGGCCCUGCUCGGGCAUCACCUCCUUUGUGUAGCUUUCCUGGAUUCACUUCCCUAGUAGAAUUAAUUAUGCCUUCUACAUUCCCAUGGCACUUUGUGUGUGAUUUCAUUACAACACUUGCCAAAUCGCUUCAUAUUUCCUUAUCGGUCUAUCUGGGGCUACCACAUUGCACAACUCCAGGGGACACAAUUUGCAUUAAAUCAAGCAACGUAGAGAUGGCACCUGUACCUGCCCACUAGGCAG
rnacentral:lncRNA from 1 species